rnacentral:rRNA from 1 species
ACUAGGAUUAGAUACCCUAUUAUUAAGAAAAAUUAUAUUGUUAGUAUAUAAAUUGUAUGAAAACAAAAAAUUAUGGCGGUAUUUUAAGCUUUUCAGAGGAAUUUGCUCUUUAAUGGAUAAAACACCUAAAUCUUACUAAAUUUAGUUAAGCAGUUUGUAUACCACUAUUUAAGUAAUAAUUUGCUAUUAUUACUAAAAUUUAUAUUAAUUAAAAAAAGUUAAGUCAAGGUGCAGCAUAAAUUUUAGUAUGAAGUGAAUUACAUUUCUUUUAAGAAAAAUUUGUUGAAAAUAAAAUUUAGGAUUUGAAAGUAAAAUUUUAAUAGAAGGAAAAUUUGAAUUAAGCUCUAAAAUAUGUACACAU